UAUAAGCUUUUCUUCAAAGGACACAAUAUUUUGAACAAUGUAUUCCAGAAAACAGCCACCACUACUGAAUUAAUCCCAGGAAUUCCCAGUCUUCGGAAAAGACCACAAUAUUUCAAAGCAAUUUAGUUCAGUCCAAGCAGAAUCUGCAAUUUCUGCAUUUACUCUCCGUCAACUGGAAUUGGGUCUUCAGAUGACCUGGAGAUAAGUUUUUGACACAAAACCUACUGAAAUGCUUCCAUUGAUUAACUCAUUUUUUCAGCAAGGAUUUUCUAAGCGACUACUACAUAAAGCUACAGUGCUUGGCAAGGAAGGAAGUGGGAUGUCAAGUACAGGUGGUGAGAUUUCUGUGGCCUGAUGUGGGCACCUCUGGAAAGACACGCAUUGGAGCGCGACGGGGUAGCGAU
rnacentral:lncRNA from 1 species